rnacentral:rRNA from 1 species
GUCGAGGGGCAGCAUCAUCAAAGCUUGCUUUGAUGGAUGGCGACCGGCGCACGGGUGAGUAACACGUAUCCAACCUGCCGACAACACUGGGAUAGCCUUUCGAAAGAAAGAUUAAUACCGGAUGGCAUAGUUUUCCCGCAUGGGAUAAUUAUUAAAGAAUUUCGGUUGUCGAUGGGGAUGCGUUCCAUUAGGCAGUUGGCGGGGUAACGGCCCACCAAACNUACGAUGGAUAGGGGUUCUGAGAGGAAGGUCCCCCACAUUGGAACUGAGACACGGUCCAAACUCNUACGGGAGGCAGCAGUGAGGAAUAUUGGUCAAUGGACGAGAGUCUGAACCAGCCAAGUAGCGUGAAGGAUGACUGCCCUAUGGGUUGUAAACUUCUUUUAUACGGGAAUAAAGUUAGCCACGUGUGGCUUUUUGUAUGUACCGUAUGAAUAAGGAUCGGCUAACUCCGUGCCAGCAGCCGCGGUAAUAUGGAGGAUCCGAGCGUUAUCCGGAUUUAUUGGGUUUAAAGGGAGCGUAGGCGGGUUGUUAAGUCAGUUGUGAAAGUUUGCGGCUCAACCGUAAAAUUGCAGUUGAUACUGGCGACCUUGAGUGCAACAGAGGUAGGCGGAAUUCGUGAUGUAGCGGUGAAAUGCUUAGAUAUCACGAAGAACUCCGAUUGCG